rnacentral:sRNA from 1 species
GAUGGAUCUGUCAGAACACGGCUUCGGGCUGGCCCUGCUCAACGACUGCAAGUAUGGCGCGUCAGUGCGAGGCAGCAUCCUCAGCCUCUCGCUGUAAGUGGGGUACCCACCUGGGAGCUGGCAUGGGGAAAUGGGUCUUCCCGACCACAACUCCACCAGCUUCAGCCUGGCGCCUACCCGCCCUCCUAACCGCAGCUUGCGGGCGCCUAAAGCCCCGGACGCUACUGCUGACACGGGGCGCCACGAGUUCACCUACGCGCUGAUGCCGCACGAGGCCCCCAGCCCAGCGCCCGCCACCUCCUGGAGUGCCUUUUCCGUGUCUUCACCCGCGGUCUUAUUGGAGACCGUCAAGCAGGCAAGGGCAGCCCCCAGCGCCGCUCGCUGGUCCUGAGGCUGUAUGAGGCCCACGGCAGCCACGUGGACUGCUGGCUGCACUUGUCGCUGCCGGUUCAGGAGGCCAUCCUGUGAGUGGCUGUGCGGGAUGGGGGCGGGGGUCGAGUCUCGCCCUCGCAGAGCCUUCACGGCCCCUCCUGUUCUCCAGCUGCGAUCUCUUGGAGCGACCAGACCCUGCUGGCCACUUGACCCUUCGGGACAGCCGCCUGAAGCUCACCUUUUCUCCCUUCCAAGUGCUGUCCCUGUUGCUCGUGCUUCAGCCUCCACCACACUGAGUCCCUGGGGCUGGUGUUUUGUUUGUGGAAGGCUCUGGGGACUCCUAAUUUCUGCUUCCUCAGCCUAAAGCAGGGAUCAGUCUCUUCUUGUGGAAUAAAUCCUUGGAUCAGGAA